CCGAUGAACCCAAACCGGGCCGACCAUAAAUUUAUAAAAAAUUACAUGUAUAUAUAUAUAUUUGGGCUUUACAUUAAACGUGGCCCAUUACCUUUCCCUUUCCCAUUUCCCUAACUUCUAACCCUAGACACAAAAUAACACACAUACACACACACACAAAGUCAGCCGCCUCCCCCCUCUCAGUUGCGAUUUCUCCCUCUUCUCUCCUCGACGCACGCAAAAGUCUCACCAAGCCACCAUGCUUCUCUGACCGGUGACAUUCCUCAUCUCUAGAGGAAAAUCAUUCACCAAAGAGAUUCUCAGACCAUCAUUGGCACAUCCUACCGUCGAAUCUUAGGUGCAACCCUACCUACCGUCGACUCUUACUUCUCACCCUCAGAUUAUCUGGUGGUAGGGACCCCUAUGUUGACGUCCUUCAACAAAGCUUUCCAAAAAAAAAAGAAUUGCAGGGAAUCAUCCUAAACACACAGCAUUUUCCUGGAGGUGAAGACUGUUAUUUCAGUUCGUAAUCACUGAGGAAAAUUUUAAUAGUUUUACACUUAAUAAUGGGAUGUAACUUCAUAUGAUUUUUUUUUAUGUAUGAUUAUUUUAUUUUUGUUUCUUGUAUGUAUUUUGAUGACAUUCAGAUCUAAUUUUUUUUAAUUAUGAAAUAAGGGUUAUAACCCAA